rnacentral:rRNA from 1 species
UGGGGAAUAUUGCACAAUGGGCGCAAGCCUGAUGCAGCCAUGCCGCGUGUAUGAAGAAGGCCUUCGGGUUGUAAAGUACUUUCAGCGGGGAGGAAGGGAGUAAAGUUAAUACCUUUGCUCAUUGACGUUACCCGCAGAAGAAGCACCGGCUAACUCCGUGCCAGCAGCCGCGGUAAUACGGAGGGUGCAAGCGUUAAUCGGAAUUACUGGGCGUAAAGCGCACGCAGGCGGUUUGUUAAGUCAGAUGUGAAAUCCCCGGGCUCAACCUGGGAACUGCAUCUGAUACUGGCAAGCUUGAGUCUCGUAGAGGAGGGUAGAAUUCCAGGUGUAGCGGUGAAAUGCGUCGAGAUCUGGAGGAAUACCGGUGGCGAAGGCGGCCCCCUGGACGAAGACUGAAGCUCAGGUGCGAAAGCGUGGGGAGCAAACAGG